rnacentral:snRNA from 1 species
AAGAGUAUACUUUCAGGGAUCAUUUCUAUAGUUCAUGUUGCAAAAGA